rnacentral:rRNA from 1 species
UACGAAGGGGGCUAGCGUUGUUCGGAAUUACUGGGCGUAAAGCGUGCGCAGGCGGUUUUGUAAGCCCGAUGUGAAAUCCCCGGGCUUAACCUGGGAAUGGCAUUUGGGACUGCAAGGCUGGAGUACGGCAGAGGAGACUGGAAUUCCUGGUGUAGCAGUGAAAUGCGUAGAGAUCAGGAGGAAUACCGAUGGCGAAGGCAGGUCUCUGGGCUGAUACUGACGCUCAUGCACGAAAGCGUGGGGAGCAAACAGG